AUUGAACGCUGGCGGCAGGCCUAACACAUGCAAGUCGAACGAGUGGCGGACGGGUGAGCAAUGUCUGGGAACCUGCCUGAUGGAGGGGGAUAACUACUGGAAACGGUAGCUAAUACCGCUAACGAUCAGUUCUGCCCAGGUUGGAUUAGCUUGUUGGGGGGGUAACGGCUCACCAAGGCGACGAGCCCUAGCUGGGCUGAGAGGAUGACCAGCCACACUGGAACUGAGACACGGUCCAGACUCCUACGGGAGGCAGCAGUGGGGAAUAUUGGACAAUGGGCGAAAGCCUGAUGCAGCCAUGCCGCGUGUGUGAAGAAGGCCUUCGGAUUGUAAAGUACUUUCAGCGGGGAGGCGUUACCCACAGAAGAAGCACCGGCUAACUCCGUGCCAGCAGCCGCGGUAAUUC
rnacentral:rRNA from 1 species